AUUUGAUGAUGUGGACAUUGUAUUUGUAACUCCCCAAAUCUUUCCCAAGCUUUAAAAAAUUCUUCCGCAUGUUUUGUCAAAAAGUUUGAAUUUUGUUUCUUAACU
rnacentral:snoRNA from 1 species